rnacentral:rRNA from 1 species
AGGCAGCAGUGGGGAAUUUUGGACAAUGGGCGCAAGCCUGAUCCAGCCAUGCCGCGUGCGGGAAGAAGGCCUUCGGGUUGUAUACCGCUUUUGUCAGGGAAGAAACGCUUCGAGCUAAUACCUUGGAGUAAUGACGGUACCUGAAGAAUAAGCACCGGCUAACUAC